rnacentral:tRNA from 1 species
GGAGAGAUACCCAAGAGGCUGAAGGGGCUGGCUUGGAAAGCUAGUAGAAUCGAAAGAUUGCGGGGGUUCAAAUCCCCCUCUCUCCGCCA